AUUGAACGCUGGCGGCAGGCCUAACACAUGCAAGUCGAGCGUGAAAAGUCCUUCGGGAUGAGUAAAGCGGCGGACGGGUGAGUAACGCGUAGGAAUCUACCUAAUAGUGGGGGAUAACGUUUCGAAAGGAACGCUAAUACCGCAUACGUUCUGAGGAAGAAAGCAGGGGAUCGCAAGACCCUUGCGCUAUUAGAUGAGCCUGCGUCCGAUUAGCUAGUUGGUGGGUAAAGGCCUACCAAGGCGACGAUCGGUAACUGGUCUGAGAGGGAUGAUCAGUCACACUGGAACUGAGACACGGUCCAGACUCCUAC
rnacentral:rRNA from 1 species